rnacentral:rRNA from 1 species
GAUGAACGCUAGCUACAGGCUUAACACAUGCAAGUCGAGGGGAAACGAUAGAGAAAGCUUGCUUUUUCUAGGCGUCGACCGGCGCACGGGUGAGUAACGCGUAUCCAACCUGCCCAUCACUUGGGGAUAACCUUGCGAAAGUAAGACUAAUACCCAAUGAUGUCUCUAGAAGACAUUUGAAAGGGAUUAAAGAUUUAUCGGUGAUGGAUGGGGAUGCGUCUGAUUAGCUUGUUGGCGGGGUAACGGCCCACCAAGGCGACGAUCAGUAGGGGUUCUGAGAGGAAGGUCCCCCACAGUGGAACUGAGACACGGUCCAAACUCCUACGGGAGGCAGCAGUGAGGAAUAUUGGUCAAUGGGCGAGAGCCUGAACCAGCCAAGUAGCGUGCAGGAUGACGGCCCUAUGGGUUGUAAACUGCUUUUAUAAGGGAAUAAAGUGAGCCUCGUGAGGCUUUUUGCAUGUACCUUAUGAAUAAGGACCGGCUAAUUCCGUGCCAGCAGCCGCCGUAA